rnacentral:rRNA from 1 species
AUGGGGAAGAGCAGCAAGAAGAACAAGGUCAUCCUCGCGCCGCCGCUGCCGCCGGAUGUCGACGACGAGGACAUCUUGGUCUCCGACGAGGAUGUGGAUUUCGUCGAGGAGAAUAGAGAGCACGUCCACCUGAUCACCGGGCUCAACAGGAAGGCCCUCGACAAAGUCGUCACCAGGGUCCCCGACCACGACGAGGACAAGGUAGAGCUCCUCUACGAGGAGCGCGAGCGCAAGAGGAGGGCUGCCCUAGCCCUGAAACCCAAGGACGACGAUGACCUCGAGGUGGACCCCGUCGACGCUCUCCCUGUCAAGACUCUGCAGGGGGAGCUGCUCUACAGAACCGCCAAGAGAGCAAGGUCUGAAGACAAAGCUAAGGGUGCUGAAUCCAGAUCUGAUGACAAAGAUGCUGAUGCCAAGCAAAGUUCUCAAAAGGAAUGUAAGGGAAGAUCCAACAAAAAGGAAGAUAGUAAAUUGCAGAAUGUGCAGCGUCCACUUGAAGUUCCUAAGGAAAAACUGCACUCAGUAGUGUUGGAAGAGGUGAAGGAAGAACUUUCAGCUGAUGAAUUGUUUGAGAAAAAGAAGGCCCAGCUUGCUGAAUUAGGCAUGGCCAUGCUUGAAGAUCCUGAAUCAAACAUUAGAUCUCUGAAUGAUUUAUUGAUUAUAUGCAACGACACAGACCAAAGGGUUGUUAAACUUGCUAUAAUGUCCUUGCUUGCUGUGUUCAGGGACAUAAUUCCUAGUUAUCGGAUUAGGCAGCUGACAGAAAAAGAGCUUGCCGUAGAAGUUUCGAAAGAAGUGAAGAAGACGAGAUAUUAUGAGUACACGCUUAUUCGUUCCUACAAGGCAUACCUGCAGAAAUUGAUAUCAUUGGAGAAGCAACCCUAUUUUUAUCUUGUGGCAGUUCGUUGCUUGUGUAGUUUAUUAGAUGCUGCCCCACACUUUAACCACCGUGAAAGCUUACUGGCCAGUGUGGUAAAAAAUUUAAGCUCCUCGAAUGAUGUAGCAAGGAAACUAUGUUCUGAGGCAAUAAGAUCUCUAUUUAGAAAUGAAGGAAAACAUCGCGGUGAGGCAACUGUUGAAGCAGUAAGAUUGAUAUCAGCUAGUGUGAAGCUCAAUGAUUGCCAGCUCCAUCCUGAUGUCGUUGAGGUCUGCUUGUCUUUGAAGUUUGAUGAAGACCUUGGAAAAGAUGAGAGCAAGGAAGAAAAAAUGAAACCAAAGAAAAAUAAACGAUAUCAGAAUCGGGAUGUCACAAAACCGAGUGAGAAGAAAAAAAUAAAAAAGGAAUUGCUUUCUAAGGCCAGACAAGAGGUUCAUGCAGAUCUUAGAGCUGUUUCAUUUACUCUUGAUCCAAAGGAGAAAAAAAUGAUACAAAGGGAAACACUUGCAGCUCUUUUUGAGACCUAUUUUCGAAUUUUGAAGCAUAGCAUGAACACUUCAAAUUCAAGGUAUAAGGCCACUAGCGUCUUCCCUGGUGGCUCACACCCUUUACUUGCUCCAUGCUUGGAGGGCUUAGGAAAAUUCUCACAUUUAAUUGAUUUGGAUUUCAUGAGUGAACUUAUCGCUUGCCUUAAGAAGCUUUCUGGGUAUACAGACCAUCAAGGUGAAAUUCCACCGGACAAUACACUCUCUGUGUCAGAACGCCUACAAUGCUGCAUAGUUGCUUUUAAAGUCUGGAGGAGCAAUCUUGAGGCUUUGAAUGUAGACCUGCAGGACUUCUUUGUGCAGUUUUAUAACCUUAUACUGGAGUAUCGACCUGACAGAGAUCGUGGUGAGGUUUUGGCUGACGCUCUGAAGACACUUCUGUGGGAAGGCAAGCAGCAGGAUAUGCUAAGAGCAGCUGCUUUCAUUAAACGUCUGGCAACAUUUGCUCUGUCAUUUGGCUCCGCAGAAGCAAUAGCAGCCUUGAUCACGCUGAAGCAUCUUCUCCAGAAGAAUACCAAGUGCCGUAACAUGUUGGAAAAUGAUGCUGGCGGCGGUUCCCUGUCUAGCUUAGUUGCGAAAUAUGACCCAGAGGCUAAAGAUCCUUAUCUGAGUGGGGCACUAGCGACAGUACUUUGGGAGCUUAGCCUUCUGCAGAAGCAUUAUGAUGAAACUGUUAGUGGAAUUGCUUCAAAUAUCUUGAGCAUGGCAAAUCUGAACGCCACCCAGAAUCCAGUUCAACUUUCUAGCUCAAAUCCUCUUGAAGCAUACAAAGACUUGUCGAUGGGACGUGAAUUAUCAAAGCCAACCCACAAAGUGUCACAGACAUUGAAGUGCAAAAGGAAACGACGCAGUAAGGAGUUUGUCGCUCUAAGUCCAGAUGUGCUCGAGAAGGCAGAUUGCACGGUGGGCGAAGAUGAACUGAGAGAGAAGUUGCAAAGUCAUUUCGCGGUACUAAGAGGCAUUUCCGAGAAUGAGAGAUUGAGGACCGAGUUGAACCAUGCUUUGUCAUCCAUAAACAUGUACAAGGAAUACAAGAAGCAGAAAAAGGUAAGUAAGAAAUCAAAGAAAGCUGCAAAGGCUUAG